rnacentral:rRNA from 1 species
GAGUAACGCGUAUCCAACCUGCCCACCACUUGGGGAUAACCUUGCGAAAGUAAGACUAAUACCCAAUGAUAUCUCUAGAAGACAUCUGAAAGAGAUUAAAGAUUUAUCGGUGAUGGAUGGGGAUGCGUCUGAUUAGCUUGUUGGCGGGGUAACGGCCCACCAAGGCAACGAUCAGUAGGGGUUCUGAGAGGAAGGUCCCCCACAUUGGAACUGAGACACGGUCCAAACUCCUACGGGAGGCAGCAGUGAGGAAUAUUGGUCAAUGGACGAGAGUCUGAACCAGCCAAGUAGCGUGCAGGAAGACGGCCCUAUGGGUUGUAAACUGCUUUUAUAAGGGAAUAAAGUGAGAGUCGUGACUCUUUUUGCAUGUACCUUAUGAAUAAGGACCGGCUAAUUCCGUGCCAGCAGCCGCGGUAAUACGGAAGGUCCGGGCGUUAUCCGGAUUUAUUGGGUUUAAAGGGAGCGUAGGCCGGAGAUCAAGCGUGUUGUGAAAUGUAGAUGCUCAACAUCUGCACUGCAGCGCGAACUGGUUUCCUUGAGUACGCACAAAGUGGGCGGAAUUCGUGGUGUAGCGGUGAAAUGCUUAGAUAUCACGAAGAAUUCCGAUUGCGAAGGCAGCUCACUGGAGCGCAACUGACG